rnacentral:rRNA from 1 species
CAACUUGAGAGUUUGAUCCUGGCUCAGAACGAACGCUGGCGGCAGGCCUAACACAUGCAAGUCGAGCGCGCCUUCGGGCGAGCGGCGGACGGGUUAGUAACGCGUGGGAACGUGCCCAGAUCUACGGAAUAGCCACUGGAAACGGUGAGUAAUACCGUAUACGCCCUUCGGGGGAAAGAUUUAUCGGAUUUGGAUCGGCCCGCGUUAGAUUAGGUAGUUGGUGGGGUAACGGCCUACCAAGCCUACGAUCUAUAGCUGGUUUUAGAGGAUGAUCAGCAACACUGGGACUGAGACACGGCCCAGACUCC